rnacentral:rRNA from 1 species
GACGAACCGCCCGAACGUUGUUCGGAAUCACUGGGCUUAAAGGGAGCGUAGGCGGGCUGCCAAGUCCGGGGUGAAAUCCUCCAGCUUAACUGGAGAACUGCCUCGGAUACUGGAAGUCUCGAGGAGGGUAGGGGCAAGGUGGAACCGUGGGUGGAGCGGUGAAAUGCGUUGAUAUCCAUGGGAACUCCGGUGGCGAAGGCGACUUGCUGGA